rnacentral:lncRNA from 1 species
GAAUGUCCGCUUUUCCCCAUUGGGCUUAAGAGGGAAGUUGAGAGAGGGCUUCCGAGUACAGUCCUAUGAGCAAAAACUCAGACAUCUUUGAGCGAUAGAAGAGACAACUGGGCCGGGGGCCAGUUCAGUGCGGACCUACAUUUCAACCACCAUGAUGAAGGAGAGUUGUGUGUGGUGCCCUGUGGAUGGUGCAGGUGAGACGUCCAAAGACAGCAUCGCUCACACUGCUCAGGACGGAUGAGGUACUGAAGGAGGCCAGAUUGGAGGAGCCAGCCUGGGCAGGGCUGUGGCUGUUUCAGGGCAAGAUGGGGCCUCCACGUGAAAAGUAACUACAAAACAGAACCAGAAAAUAGUCAUGCUGUUCAAACAUUACACUCCAAGAAAAGAAACUCUAGUGUAUAACAGAGGGGCUCUGUCAAAAUUUAACAACAUAAAUAUUGGGCAAAUGAAGUUGUUUCUCUGGUGCUAUCUCAACCUGCCAAUGGAGAAAUAUCUCAAAAAGUCAAGAAUUGAAGCCAUUACUCAGAGACAGCAUCCUAUGGCAUGGUGAUCCAAAACAAGUACACCUCUACCUUUUCCCUUUCAGCCCCAAACCCCAAAACACUGGAGAAUAUUGGGGCAGGCAAGGCCCGUGAAUAGGUGAGCAGAGCUGGAAGAAGAGACUCCUGCCCCUGGUGGGCCUCAGGCUAUUUGUGGAAUGAUGUUUGUGAGAUGAACAUGUUCGCUCCCUCACCCGGAUGUUUUGGACAUAGGAGCCUGGAGUAAAGAGUGUAUAUCUUGGGCUGUCA